rnacentral:lncRNA from 1 species
CUUAACGACGGCAAUAAACUUAACAUCCUUAUUAUAUGCAGAUAGUUCAUUUGUGUUUGGAGGGGCGGCCUUCAUCUGAUCUGACCACAUGGAAAAGCUCUCUUUGUGUUGAUGAAGAAUUCUUCAUCUCAAACAAGAUAAACUGAUGUUAAACACUGGGGGGCACGUCUUUGUUUGGUUUCCUUGCAAAAAAACAACGUUAAACUGAUGAUAAACUGAUGUUAAAGCUCGUAUUGUUGAAGUUCAAUUUCUUCUUGUCCCGCAUUGAAAGAUUAUAGCUUUGUCUAUGAAUUCUUCAAGGACAGCCAAUCUGAUACUGAUUGUUGUUUCCAACAAAAGCUCUGUCUCUACACAUUAUAGCUUAUUCCUUGAAUGUUACAUAUAUUCAGUGUUUCCAUACAUUUCAAGAAUUUUGACAAGCAAACGGUCAUU